rnacentral:sRNA from 1 species
CGUCUUCGAUCUGUUGCGGGCAGAUAAAGUGGAUGUGGCUGUCAAAGCCGCCUGCGGUCAGGAUGCGGCCCUCGCCCGCGAUGGCUUCGGUGCCGGGUCCGACGAUGAUGUUCACGCCCGGCUGCGUGUCGGGAUUCCCAGCCUUGCCGAUCUUGUGAAUGCGCCCGUCGCGCAGGCCAACGUCUGCUUUGUAGAUGCCGGUGUGGUCCACGAUCAGCGCGUUGGUGAUCACCGUAUCGACCGCACCGUCCGCGCGAGUGGUCUGCGCUUGGCCCAUGCCGUCCCGAAUG